rfam:Glycine soja cultivar W05 scaffold1739_5, whole genome shotgun sequence.
UUCUUAUUGGAUGAUGACUACCACGAAUUAUGUUCUGAUUGGAUGUCAACUCCAUGAAAGAUGAAAUGCAUUGUUGUUUUCAUUGACCAAUCAAAACAUGACAUGUGACAAUCAUCAUCC